GUUAAACACGUGGCUCAGUGGUUAGAGAGGCUGGCUCUCAACCAGGGCCUGGGUUAGGUCCCAGGUUCGAUUCUGGGUCGGAACG